UUUCCUACGGGUGGCUGCAGUGGGGAAUAUUGGACAAUGGGGGCAACCCUGAUCCAGCCAUGCCGCGUGAGUGAUGAAGGCCUUCGGGUUGUAAAGCUCUUUUGGCGGGGACGAUGAUGACGGUACCCGCAGAAUAAGCCCCGGCUAACUUCGUGCCAGCAGCCGCGGUAAGACGAAGGGGGCUAGCGUUGUUCGGAAUUACUGGGCGUAAAGCGAGUGUAGGCGGUUGUCAUAGUCAGGUGUGAAAGCCUUGAGCUCAACUCAAGAAAUGCACUUGAUACUUGGCGACUAGAGGACCGGAGAGGAUAGUGGAAUUCCCAGUGUAGUGGUGAAAUACGUAGAGAUUGGGAAGAACACCAGUGGCGAAGGCGGCUAUCUGGACGGUUACUGACGCUAAGACUCGAAAGCGUGGGGAGCAAACAGGAUUAGAUACCCGGGUAGUC
rnacentral:rRNA from 1 species